GACGAACCGUGCGAACGUUGUUCGGAAUCACUGGGCUUAAAGGGCGCGUAGGCGGCUUACCAAGUCCGGGGUGAAAGCUUUCGGCUCAACCGGAAAAGUGCCUUGGAUACUGGUAGGCUUGAGGGAGGUAGGGGCAUGCGGAACUUCCGGUGGAGCGGUGAAAUGCGUUGAUAUCGGAAGGAACGCCGGUGGCGAAAGCGGCGUGCUGGACCUCUUCUGACGCUGAGGCGCGAAAGCUAGGGGAGCGAACGGG
rnacentral:rRNA from 1 species